UUACUUGGAUAACUGUGGUAAUUCUAGAGCUAAUACAUGCAAACAGAACUCCGACCGGAGACGGAAGGAGUGCUUUUAUUAGAUCAAAACCAAUCGGUGGCGGGUUCGCUCGUCAUCGUACAACUUGGUGACUCUGAAUAACUUUAAGCUGAUCGCACGGUCUCGCACCGGCGACGCAUCUUUCAAAUGUCUGCCUUAUCAACUGUCGAUGGUAGGUUCUGCGCCUACCAUGGUUGUAACGGGUAACGGGGAAUCAGGGUUCGAUUCCGGAGAGGGAGCCUGAGAAACGGCUACCACAUCCAAGGAAGGCAGCAGGCGCGCAAAUUACCCACUCCCGGCACGGGGAGGUAGUGACGAAAAAUAACGAUACGGGACUCAUCCGAGGCCCCGUGAUCGGAAUGAGUACACUCUAAACCCUUUAACAAGGAUCAAUUGGAGGGCAAGUCUGGUGCCAGCAGCCGCGGUAAUUCCAGCUCCAAUAGCGUAUAUUAAAGUUGUUGCGGUUAAAAAGCUCGUAGUCGAAUCUGUGUCUCGCGCCGCCGGUUCAUCGUCCGCGGUGUCAACUGGCGUGUCGCGGGACGUCCUGCCGGUGGGCUUAGCUCGCAAGGGCGGCCCAACUCAAUCCCGCCGCGGUGCUCUUCAUUGAGUGUCGAGGUGGGCCGGCACGUUUACUUUGAACAAAUUAGAGUGCUUAAAGCAGGCUAAAAUUUCGCCUGAAUACUGUGUGCAUGGAAUAAUGGAAUAGGACCUCGGUUCUAUUUUGUUGGUUUUCGGAACCCCGAGGUAAUGAUUAAUAGG
rnacentral:rRNA from 1 species